CGGAAGGAGAAGAGAGAGACAAAGGGGCAGAAAAUUUAUGUGAAGAAAUAAUAGAUGAAAAUUUUCCUAAUCUGAGGCAGGAAACAGACAUCCAAGUUCAGGAAGCACAGAGAGCUCCAAACAAGAAAAUGGUAUUUACAAAAGCAUUUCAAUUUGAAGUGUCAAUCAAAGUAUAUGCAGGCAAAACUGUAAGGAAAAAGUAUUAUAGAGAUGUGAAAACAGGAGCAAAGAAAAUUGGAGCAACACGCCUGAAGCUACACAGUUGCAGAGGCAGGAUUUCAACAAAUAUCAAAACUAUGAAAAGGCUCCACAUGGUGACAAGAAGGCUGCCUUCAACAUCAAGCCUAUAUCCUCCUAUACUCAAACCCAGUAGAAAAA
rnacentral:lncRNA from 1 species